rnacentral:rRNA from 1 species
UACAGAGGGUGCAAGCGUUGUUCGGAAUUACUGGGCGUAAAGGGCGCGUAGGCGGCCCGCUAAGUCGAACGUGAAAUCCCCGGGCUCAACCCGGGAACUGCGUCCGAUACUGGUGGGCUUGAAUCCGGGAGAGGGAUGCGGAAUUCCAGGUGUAGCGGUGAAAUGCGUAGAUAUCUGGAGGAACACCGGUGGCGAAGGCGGCAUCCUGGACCGGUAUUGACGCUGAGGCGCGAAAGCCAGGGGAGCAAACGGG